rnacentral:rRNA from 1 species
UACGGAGGGUGCAAGCGUUAUCCGGAAUCAUUGGGUUUAAAGGGUCCGCAGGCGGAUUUAUAAGUCAGUGGUGAAAGCUCUCAGCUUAACUGAGAAACUGCCAUUGAUACUGUAAGUCUUGAAUUUGGUCGAAGUGGGCGGAAUAUGACAUGUAGCGGUGAAAUGCAUAGAUAUGUCAUAGAACACCGAUAGCGAAGGCAGCUCACUAGGCCAACAUUGACGCUCAUGGACGAAAGCGUGGGGAGCAAACAGG